GACGAACGCUGGCGGCGUGCUUAACACAUGCAAGUCGAACGGAAAGGCCCUGCUUGCGGGGUACUCGAGUGGCGAACGGGUGAGUAACACGUGGGUGAUCUGCCCUGCACUUCGGGAUAAGCCUGGGAAACUGGGUCUAAUACCGGAUAGGAGCCAUUUUUAGUGUGAUGGUUGGAAAGUUUUUUCGGUGUAGGAUGAGCUCGCGGCCUAUCAGCUUGUUGGUGGGGUAAUGGCCUACCAAGGCGGCGACGGGUAGCCGGCCUGAGAGGGUGGACGGCCACAUUGGGACUGAGAGACGGCCCAGACUCCUACGGGAGGCAGCAGUGGGGAAUAUUGCACAAUGGGCGCAAGCCUGAUGAAGCGACGCCGCGUGGGGGAUGACGGCCUUCGGGUUGUAAACUCCUUUCGCUAGGGACGAAGCUUUUUGUGACGGUACCUAGAUAAGAAGCACCGGCUAACUACGUG
rnacentral:rRNA from 1 species